GCGUUACCCGGAUUUACUGGGUGUAAAGGGCGUGUAGGCGGCUUUCUAAGUCCGGUGCUAAAGACUGGGGCUCAACCCCAGGAGUGCGCUGGGUACUGGGAGGCUAGACGGUCGGAGAGGGCAGCGGAAUUCUCGGAGUAGCGGUGAAAUGCGCAGAUACCGAGAGGAACGCCGAUAGCGAAAGCAGCUGCCUGGACGAUAUUGUGACGCUGAGGCGCGAAAGCGU
rnacentral:rRNA from 1 species